AUUGAACGCUGGCGGCAGGCCUAACACAUGCAAGUCGAACGGUAACAGGAAGCAGCUUGCUGCUUCGCUGACGAGUGGCGGACGGGUGAGUAAUGUCUGGGAAACUGCCUGAUGGAGGGGGAUAACUACUGGAAACGGUAGCUAAUACCGCAUAACGUCGCAAGACCAAAGAGGGGGACCUCCGGGCCUCUUGCCAUCGGAUGUGCCCAGAUGGGAUUAGCUAGUAGGUGGGGUAACGGCUCACCUAGGCGACGAUCCCUAGCUGGUCUGAGAGGAUGAUCAGCCACAAUGGAACGGAAGCACGGGCCAGACUCCUACAGGAGGCAGCAGUGGGGAAUAUUGCACAAUGGGCGCAAGCCUGAUGCAGCCAUGCCGCGGGUAUGAAGAAGGCCUUCGGGUUGUAAAGUACUUUCAGCGGGGAGGAAGGCGAUAAGGUUAAUAACCUUGUCGAUUGACGUUACCCGCAGAAGAAGCACCGGCUAACUCCGUGCCAGCCGCCGCGGUAA
rnacentral:rRNA from 1 species